rnacentral:rRNA from 1 species
AUAUCAAUAAGCGGAGGAAAAGAAACCAACAGGGAUUGCCCUAGUAACGGCGAGUGAAGCGGCAACAGCUCAAAUUUGAAAUCUGGCUCUCGGGCCCGAGUUGUAAUUUGUAGAGGAUACUUUUGAUGCGGUGCCUUCCGAGUUCCCUGGAACGGGACGCCAUAGAGGGUGAGAGCCCCGUCUGGUUGGAUGCCAAAUCUCUGUAAAGUUCCUUCAACGAGUCGAGUAGUUUGGGAAUGCUGCUCUAAAUGGGAGGUAUAUGUCUUCUAAAGCUAAAUACCGGCCAGAGACCGAUAGCGCACAAGUAGAGUGAUCGAAAGAUGAAAAGCACUUUGAAAAGAGGGUUAAAAAGUACGUGAAAUUGUUGAAAGGGAAGCAUUCAUGACCAGACUUGGGCUUGGUUGAACAUCCGGCGUUCUCGCCGGUGCACUCUGCCAGUCCAGGCCAGCAUCAGUUUGCCCCGGGGGACAAAGGCGGUGGGAAUGUGGCUCUCUUCGGGGAGUGUUAUAGCCCGCCGUGUAAUGCCCUGGGGCGGACUGAGGAACGCGCUUCGGCACGGAUGCUGGCGUAAUGGUCAUCAAUGA